UAAUGUUAUGCGGCUGCUAGGUAUAUGGAAAACAAGGAAUUUGGUUUACAACCCAACUGGAUCGAAAACAUAACCCAAGCCCAAAACUAAUGACCCAAAACUUAAAUAAAACUAAUGCUGCAACUUCAACGAAUUUUCUGGCCCUGUUACAGGCCGAAUCAGCUUCUGACUUCUUCGUGAAAGUUGUAGAUCUUUUUCUUAGCUUUCCAUCGACUGGUA
rnacentral:lncRNA from 1 species